AGUGAACGCUGGCGGUAUGCCUAACACAUGCAAGUCGAACGGCAGCACAGUAAGAGCUUGCUCUUACGGGUGGCGAGUGGCGGACGGGUGAGGAAUACAUCGGAAUCUACUUUUUCGUGGGGGAUAACGUAGGGAAACUUACGCUAAUACCGCAUACGACCUACGGGUGAAAGCAGGGGAUCUUCGGACCUUUCGCGAUUGAAUGAGCCGAUGUCGGAUUAGCUAGUUGGCGGGGUAAAGGCCCACCAAGGCGACGAUCCGUAGCUGGUCUGAGAGGAUGAUCAGCCACACUGGAACUGAGACACGGUCCAGACUCCUACGGGAGGCAGCAGUGGGGAAUAUUGGACAAUGGGCGCAAGCCUGAUCCAGCAAUACCGCGUGGGUGAAGAAGGCCUUCGGGUUGUAAAGCCCUUUUGUUGGGAAAGAAAAGCAGCAGGUUAAUACCCCGCUGUUCUGACGGUACCCAAAGAAUAAGCACCGGCUAACUUCGUG
rnacentral:rRNA from 1 species